GACGAACCGUGCGAACGUUGUUCGGAAUCACUGGGCUUAAAGCGUGUGUAGGCGGAUCGUUAAGUACCUUGUGAAAUCCCACGGCUCAACCGUGGAACUGCUGGGUAUACUGGCGAUCUUGAGCCACCUAGGGGCGAGCGGAACAAGCGGUGGAGCGGUGAAAUGCGUAGAUAUCGCUUGGAACGCCAAUGGUGAAAACAGCUCGCUGGGGGUGUGCUGACGCUGAGACACGAAAGCCAGGGGAGCGAACGGG
rnacentral:rRNA from 1 species